CCUACGGGAGGCAGCAGUGGGGGAUAUUGCACAAUGGGGGGAACCCUGAUGCAGCGACGCCGCGUGGGUGAAGAAGCGCCUCGGCGCGUAAAGCCCUGUCAGCAGGGAAGAAAAUGACGGUACCUGAAGAAGAAGCACCGGCUAACUACGUGCCAGCAGCCGCGUUAAGACGUAGGGGGCAAGCGUUAUCCGGAUUUACUGGGUGUAAAGGGGGCGCAGACGGCGAUGCACGCCAGGAGUGAAAGCCCGGGGCCCAACCCCGGGACUGCUCGUGGAACUGCGUGGCUGGAGUGCAGGAGGGGCAGGCGGAAUUCCUGGUGUAGUGGUGAAAUGCGGAGAUAGCAGGAGGAACACCGGUGGCGAAGGCGGCCUGCUGGACUGCAACUGACGUUGAGGCCCGAAAGCGUGGGGAGCAAACAGGAUUAGAUACCCCAGUAGUC
rnacentral:rRNA from 1 species